CCAGCUCCUGAACAACAAAUUCUUGGAACUGUUAGCAGCUGACACAUUACAAAAGAAGGCCCAAAAAAAAAAAGCAAAGAUAGAGAAAUUAUAGUACGUUUGCUUCUCUUACAGGUUCUGUACCACCCAUUCCGUCGUUGGCGGUGGUGGCGGCGGCGGCUUAAGCGGUGGUGAGAACUUACAAGAACAACGCGCAAGUGCAUCACUUGUAAAUAGCGCACCAAUGGGAUUGGGAGUAAACUGCAGGUAACGCCUGUAAGUGAAGGACAGAACACGUACAAGAUUGGGGUUUUAACUCCGUGUUUGUAAAGUACACAAUAGAAUAAGUGAUGUAAUCAUUAUUCACGGUGGAGAUUUGAGUUUGAUGG